GACGAACGCUGGCGGCGUCCCUAAUACAUGCAAGUCGAGCGGACUUUCAAGAAGCUUGCUUUUUGAAAGUUAGCGGCGGACGGGUGAGUAACACGUGGGCAACCUGCCUGCAAGACGGGGAUAACUCCGGGAAACCGGGGCUAAUACCGGAUAAUAUCUUCCUUCGCAUGAAGGAAGGUUGAAAGGCGGCGCAAGCUGCCGCUUGCAGAUGGGCCCGCGGCGCAUUAGCUAGUUGGUGAGGUAACGGCUCACCAAGGCGACGAUGCGUAGCCGACCUGAGAGGGUGAUCGGCCACACUGGGACUGAGACACGGCCCAGACUCCUACGGGAGGCAGCAGUAGGGAAUCUUCCGCAAUGGACGAAAGUCUGACGGAGCAACGCCGCGUGAGCGAAGAAGGUCUUCGGAUCGUAAAGCUCUGUUGUCAGGGAAGAACAAGUACCGUUCGAACAGGGCGGUACCUUGACGGUACCUGACCAGAAAGCCACGGCUAACUACGUG
rnacentral:rRNA from 1 species